rnacentral:rRNA from 1 species
UGAGGAGAGUAUCCUAAGGCCAGCGAGAGAACUGUUGUUAAGGAACUCGGCAAAAUGACCCCGUAACUUAGGGAUAAGGGGUGCCACCAUCAGGUGGCCGCAGAGAAUAGGCCCAAGCGACUGUUUACCAAAAACAUAGGUUUCUGCUAAGUCGCAAGACGAUGUAUAGGAGCUGACGCCUGCCCGGUGCUGGAAGGUUAAGGGGAUCUGUUAGAGUAAUCGAAGCAGUGAACUUAAGCCCCAGUAAACGGCGGCCGUAACUAUAACGGUCCUAAGGUAGCGAAAUUCCUUGUCGGGUAAGUUCCGACCCGCACGAAAGGCGUAACGAUUUGGGCACUGUCUCAACAACAGACUCGGUGAAAUUGUAAUUCCGGUGAAGAUGCCGGAUACCUGCGACAGGACGGAAAGACCCCAUGGAGCUUUACUGUAGCUUGACAUUGGGUCUUGGUACUACAUGUACAGGAUAGGUGGGAGGCUUUGAAACCAGGACGCCAGUUUUGGCGGAGCCAUCCUUGGGAUACCACCCUUGUAGUACUGGGACUCUAACCAUAGGCCAUGAAUCUGGUCUUGGGACACUGUCAGGUGGGCAGUUUGACUGGGGCGGUCGCCUCCCAAAAGGUAACGGAGGCGCUCAAAGGUUCUCUCAGUACGGUCGGAAAUCGUACGUAGAGUGUAAAGGCAAAAGAGAGCUUGAUUGCAAGACAUACAGGUCGAGCAAGGAUGAAAAUCGGACUUAGUGAUCCGGUGGUUCUGCGUGGAAGGGCCAUCGCUCAACGGAUAAAAGCUACCCUGGGGAUAACAGGCUUAUCUCCCCCAAGAGUCCACAUCGACGGGGAGGUUUGGCACCUCGAUGUCGGCUCAUCACAUCCUGGGGCUGUAGUAGGUCCCAAGGGUUGGGCUGUUCGCCCAUUAAAGUGGUACGCGAGCUGGGUUCAGAACGUCGUGAGACAGUUCGGUCCCUAUCCGUCGCAGGCGUAGGAAAUUUGAGAAGACCUGUCCUUAGUACGAGAGGACCGGGAUGGACG